UUUCUCUGUAUAGUCCUGGCUGUCCUGGAACUCACUUUGUAAACCAGGCUGGCCUCGAACUCAGAAAUUCACCCGCCUCUGCCUCCCAAGUGCUGGGAUUAAAGGCAUGUGCCACUACUGCCC
rnacentral:miRNA from 1 species